UUUUUUUAAGAAGUCAAAGGAUUUAGAAAAGCUAAGCAACGAAAAGCAACAUCAAAAAUCAUAAGUGUUUAAUCCUUUCAGGUAAUUUCAUAUGGUAGGAAUUUCAACGGCAAUAUUCAUUCUUUUCGCCGUUGCUGCUAUCAAAUGGGCCUUACCCUCUCAGCUUACGACGUCACUGCGCGAGCUUUGUACGCUGGUUUGAAAACUCAACUCAUAGGGAUUGCUCUCAUGAUUGUCACUGUCAUUCAGAUAACCAAUGGCUUUGGUAACUUGAACUCAUUAAUGCUGAGCUUUCAAAAUAUUUGCUCAGCACUUAGUCGACUCUCAUACUGGUUAUAUCUUUUUCAAUGUACCCAUCAUAUAUUCUAUUGUUGCCGCUAUGAAGACACCGAUCCAUAUGACUUACGAAGGAACAGUGUUUGGAGGUCAACAUCUGGGUGA
rnacentral:lncRNA from 1 species